rnacentral:rRNA from 1 species
CGAACUGCCGUUGACAAAACGGAGGAAGGUGGGUUGACGUCAAAUCAUCAUGCCCCUUAUGUUCUGGGCUACACACGUGCUACAAUGGCCGGUACAGACGGAGGCGAAGCCGCGAGGCGGAGCAAAUCCGAAAAAGCCGGUCUCAGUUCGGAUUGCAGGCUGCAAUUCGCCUGCAUGAAGUCGGGAUCGCUAGUAAUCGCAGGUCCAGCAUACUGCGGUGAAUACGUUCCGGGCCUU